ensembl:lncRNA
CACAGGCUGGCCUCGAACUCAUGACCUCAUGGUCAGAGUGAUUUAUUGCAGCAGGCUGCUCACCAGCCUGCGCCACAGCCCGGCCCCUAUGGCCCUUCGUUUCCUCAUGUUUUUCUUUGUUUCUUCUCUCCUUCAUCAGGAUUCUACUUACACCGCCCUCCUCGUUUUAAGCAGCUUCAAGAAAUAUAGGUAAUUUCUUUCAGAACAAAGUCUACAGCCCAAAUAUUGUCAUUUCUGAGGUCAGAUCAGCAUCCAUGUAUUCUUUUAUGGCAAGGAUGGGAAGAAUAUGGAGUUCCAGAUGAAGCUGAACUGCAAAUCCCAUUAUGCCCUUGCCGAUACAGCAAAUGCCUGUGAAACAUGGAUUGUCUACAAACAUCACUCUUGACUUCUGGAACGAUUCCAUAAUCGUUGCUUCUGAAAAAUCCUGCAAAUCUCUCAGGAAGACAAGUGGACAAAUGUCAGCGUGCUGGAAAAAGCAAAGACUGCUAGCACUGAAGCAAUGAUUCUCUGCCAUCAUUUUCGCUGGACCAGCCACAUUGUCCAAAUGCCUGAUCACCAUCUCCCAAAACAGUUACUAUACUCUCAACCAAGAAUGGAGAACAGAAUGUUACUGGACAGCAACAUUGAUUUAAACAUGGUCUUAAAGCUAACCUUAAAAACUAUGGAAUAGACACUGAGAAUUGGCAAGCCCUGGCCCUUGAGUGUUCUAACUGAAAGUCAGCUAUUACCAACAAUGUUGUGAAAUUUGAAGAUGCCCGAAUCGAGGGUGAAAGGGAGAAAUGUGUCAAGAGAAAGAUGCAUCAACCCUUGUCGGGACCACUUUCUACCUGGAAAUCAAUGUCCUCACUGCAAGAGAAUAUGCGGGUCCAGAAUAGAUCUCUCUAGUCACUAACGGACCCACCGCCACUUGGAAGGCAAAUCAUACAGGAGUGAUAAUCGCCUAUGAUGAUGGACCGGAGGCUAUAAAUCAGCAUCACAUUGUAUAGUUGUGGAUUGCCCAGAAGAUGGCAAUGUUUUCCUGCUGAAUGUCUUCCAUUGAGCAUUUAGAAACCACUGCCUUUCUCAGAAGAGUUUCCAGUAGCAGUUAAUUUUCUUGAAAGAGUCCUGUGGUACUAACAAGAACACUACAGCAUGAGAUUUCAUGGAUUUAUAUGUUAGACUUUGCUUGUUGCAAAACUGACUUUUUCAAAGAACUCUCCUCAUGUUAAUAUUUUGCAGUUGUUAGUAAGGUAGUUUUACUAUAUUUUUAAAAGUUAUUUCAUUUUACCCAUUUUGUCUGCAUGGGUGUCUAAGGGGGCAUUUUUUCCCAAGAAUCCUACGUUUUAAAAUUUAUUUAUUUUAUGUAUACAGGCAGGCAGACAUCUAGCCAAUGGGUAUAAAGCACGGAAAUCGAUCUUUGCGUGCUCAUUACUGGUUGUAUUUCAUUCUUUAAACAGGUCUUAUAGUUAUCCUGUUUUGUAAAAAAAGCCCAAUGUACUUUAACCCUUAUAUUAUUGCUUUGCUUUUUUCAGGGGCUACACAUAUGAACAGCAUACAUUUCUGGGGUUUCUAAAAAAAAACUCUCUCAAUAUAACUGGGCUAUUAUACAAUCAUAUUCUCUUCAAAUCCCGCUUUUCCAAUAAGUAUUUCAUUGCAUUUUGUUAAGAAACCUAAUGUAACGUAAUUUAGAUUUCUUACCUGUAAAUGUUUCUACAUGUAUAAGGAAGCAUUUUUAAAUGCACCAUAAUAACCUAUCAAAACCAUCCACAAACAUUUACUGCAGAGAUAUAAAUGAACACUUUGUUUACACAAUGCAGCUUAAACGACUUUGCUGUCAAUAUUAACUGUAGGAGAGUCUCUGCAAUACGCUUAUUAAUCUCUGCAAAAUCUUUCUCCU